rnacentral:rRNA from 1 species
AUUGAACGCUGGCGGCAUGCCUUACACAUGCAAGUCGAACGGUAACGCGGGGCAACCUGGCAACGAGUGGCGAACGGGUGAGUAAUGUAUCGGAACGUGCCCAGUUGUGGGGGAUAACUGCUCGAAAGAGCAGCUAAUACCGCAUACGACCUGAGGGUGAAAGCGGGGAAUCGCAAGACCUCGCGCAAUUGGAGCGGCCGAUAUCAGAUUAGGUAGUUGGUGGGGUAAAGGCUCACCAAGCCAACGAUCUGUAGCUGGUCUGAGAGGACGACCAGCCACACUGGGACUGAGACACGGCCCAGACUCCUACGGGAGGCAGCAGUGGGGAAUUUUGGACAAUGGACGCAAGUCUGAUCCAGCCAUGCCGCGUGCGGGAAGAAGGCCUUCGGGUUGUAAACCGCUUUUGUCAGGGAAGAAACGCUCUGGGUUAAUACCUCGGGGUAAUGACGGUACCUGAAGAAUAAGCACCGGCUAACUACGUGCCAGCCGCCGCAGUAA